GAUGAACGCUGGCGGCGUGCCUAAUACAUGCAAGUCGAGCGAACAGAUGAGGAGCUUGCUCCUCUGACGUUAGCGGCGGACGGGUGAGUAACACGUGGAUAACCUACCUAUAAGACUGGGAUAACUUCGGGAAACCGGAGCUAAUACCGGAUAAUAUAUUGAACCGCAUGGUUCAAUAGUGAAAGACGGUUUUGCUGUCACUUAUAGAUGGAUCCGCGCCGCAUUAGCUAGUUGGUAAGGUAACGGCUUACCAAGGCAACGAUGCGUAGCCGACCUGAGAGGGGGCGCGGCAACACGGGAGGGGAGACCGGGUCCGGACUCCUACGGGAGGCAGCAGAGGGGAACCUUCGGCAGGGGGCGAAAUCCUGCCGGAGCAGCCCGGGGGGGGGAGCAACGUUCUUCGUAUCGUAAACCUGUUUUUUUGGGGAAAAACAAAUUUUAAAGUAAAUGUGCCCGUCUUGACGGUACCUAAUAAAAAAGCACCGGCUAACUACGUG
rnacentral:rRNA from 1 species